rnacentral:rRNA from 1 species
AGCACUGGACUGACGCUCAUGCACGAAAGCGUGGGUAUCGAACAGGAUUAGAUACCCUGGUAGUCCACGCGGUAAACGAUGAUAACUAGUUAUCCGGGGCGAUUGGGCCUUGGGUGACCGAGCGAAAGCGUUAAGUUAUCCACCUGGGGAGUACGCCGGCAACGGUGAAACUCAAAGGAAUUGACGGGGGCCCGCACAAGCGGAGGAACAUGUGGUUUAAUUCGAUGAUACGCGAGGAACCUUACCCGGGCUCAAACGCGAGGCGCUACACCCUGAAAGGGGUGGUUCUUCGGACGCCUUGCGAGGUGCUGCAUGGUUGUCGUCAGCUCGUGCCGUGAGGUGUCGGCUUAAGUGCCAUAACGAGCGCAACCCCCAUCUUCAGUUGCCAUCGGGUGAAGCCGGGCACUCUGGAGAGACUGCCGGCGCAAGCUGUGAGGAAGGCGGGGAUGACGUCAAAUCAGCACGGCCCUUACGUCCGGGGCGACACACGUGUUACAAUGGCGGGGCUACAGAGGGGAGCCAGGCGGCGACGCCGAGCUGAUCCCGAGAACCCGUCUCAGUUCGGAUCGGAGUCUGCAACCCGACUCCGUGAAGCUGGAUU